UACGUAGGGACCAAGCGUUGUUCGGAUUUAUUGGGCGUAAAGGGCGCGUAGGCGGCCACGCACGUCCGUUGUGAAAUCGCCCGGCUCAACUGGGCGGGGUCAGCGGAUACGGUGUGGCUCGAGCAAGCUAGGGGGCAAUGGAAUUCCCGGUGUAGUGGUGGAAUGCGUAGAUAUCGGGAGGAACACCAGUGGCGAAGGCGGUUGCCUGGAGCUUUGCUGACGCUGAUGCGCGAAAGCGUGGGGAGCGAGUCCGG
rnacentral:rRNA from 1 species